rnacentral:rRNA from 1 species
CUGAAGUGUCGAUAUAGUGGCGGACGGGUGAGUAAUGCAUGAGAAGCUGCCAUUGGAGGGGGACGAACAAGUUGGAAACGGCUGCGUAAUACCCCGUAUGCCGGAAGGUGAAAGGGAGCGAUCCGCCCGAUGAGGUGCUCAUGUCCUAUCAGCUGGUUGGUGGGGUAACGGCCUACCAAGGCGACGACGGGUAGCCGGCCUGAGAGGGUGAACGGCCACACUGGAACUGAGAUACGGUCCAGACUCCUACGGGAGGCAGCAGUGGGGAAUAUUGGGCAAAAUGGGGGGCAACCCUGACCCAGCGACGCCGCGUGGGGGAAGACGGCCUUCGGGUUGUAAACCUCUUUUGUACGGGAAGAAGGAAGUGACGGUACUGUACGAAUAAGUCCCGGCUAACUACGUGCCAGCAGCCGC